rnacentral:lncRNA from 1 species
AUUUACGUUGUGUGCUCCUGCGUAGGCUGGAUCUCAGCAUCCAGUGACCUUGCUGGGGUUCGACCCAAACCAACUCCAAGAGCAAGGCCUGCGCUGUCUGCAGCCGUGAUCAGGUGUUGGUGGCAGAGAUCACAACAGCAGCCUGUUGUGCAGCCGUGAGCUGCUCGCUUGUGCCUCGCCGCCGGUAGAAGCAAGAACAACACAAGCAGCUGAAACUUGGCAUCCGAAGUCACAAGGGAGAAACUAGGAAGAAAGAAACCACCCCUGGCUAAGCUGCUUCUGGGUGAUAUGAAAGUGAAAUUGCUGGGAGCUUUGCAGGGAACAGUCAGCUCCAGGAAGGCUUUGGGGUACCCUUACCAAUGCUUCCUACACCCAACCCCCCACCGCUCCUUCAGCCGUGUUACUGCCACUGCUGCGAUGCCAGACGGCGAGCGGGAUCAGUAAAACCGAUGCAGGUUUGAGCUCGUGGCAGGAAAACGAGGGAAGCCCAACAGCACGACACGAAGGCUCAAGCAUUGGAUGGGCCAUAAAAAAACACUUCCAAAGUACACCUUUUGUAAAAUCUCAUUAUUUUCCGAGGGUUGAUUCAUGACGGUUGAAUCGCCAGGACCAGCAACAUUCGUAUAAUGCAGAAGAGCAAUAAACAUUACAGAAGUAAAAAAGCACAGCUCUUCUAUAUCACACGCCAGCUGCAGCGACACUACGCCUCAGCUGGAUUUAUUGUGGCGUCCUCCAGCAGAGCGAGUGGCGAAGUGCUGCCAUUACUUCUGAUUAUGAACGGAUCGGAUCUGGCUACCCAAAGGAAUUUACUCUGCAGUGUGCUGUUUCAAUGCAAUGACAUCACAGACACCGGCAGGACCCUUAGAAGUCUCCCUUACAGCCCACAUCACACCUCCAGCAGUGGCAAUCUCCUGUGCAUGCGUCAGACAGCCCUCCUACACCUGGGCUGAGAGCAGCACCCCACACGGGCUGACACAAUGCCUGGGAUGUGUGUCAUGAUUCGUGGCACACAGCCUCACCGAUGCAGUGGCAUGACCUGCUGAGCUGUGUGGGACAUUUGCUCUGUGAUGAGGUGCAAGUUCUGCGUGCUCGGCAAACCUUUAUUAAUUUUAAACAGAACGGCGGAUGUCAAUUAACUGUGGGAGAUCUGUCAGCGUUUGUUAACGCUCUCUGUAUUCCUUUAUUAAUUUUUCAUACAGUCGUGGAUGUGCAUCUGCUCAGGGGAAAUAUCAACAGCAGGACGGCGUGUUUCCCCACAGGGCCCCGUGCUGGGAGG